UCUGCACAGACCUCUUUUUCCUAUGGACUGCUUUGGCUGCACAGUGUCCUGCAGCACAGUCUCUGAACACAGUGACUCUGAGCAUCCUGACUCCUGUUUCUUUCUUUCUUAGAAAUUGAAAUCAGGCCCUUCUACCAUUGAGUUAUAUCCUCAAUCCUUGUUGUCUUGUUUUUUUCUUUUUUAUAGUUAGAGUCUUGCUUCAUUGCUGAGGUGAUAUUGAACUUGUAAUUCUCUUGCCUCUUCCUCCUGGGUCAGGAUUACAGCUGUGUACCACUGUGGCUGGUACUAUGUUUCUUGUGUUUCCUGCAGGGGAGAAAUCUGUACAGAUUUAGGCAGUAUCUUGUCUUAGGAAAAUGAAAAUAAAACACAACUAGGAGGUAUAACAUUCUCAGAAAUACCAGAAUAUAUGAAAACACGGGGAAAGCAAGCUCAGUUUCUCCCUAUAUACCCUCUGCACACAGAAAGCUUCUGUGAUCCCAAAUAAGUGAGGGUUUUUGCCCUUAUGCCAAGAAUGCAGUUCUUCAGAGGGCACUUGUCAUUUCACCUAAUUCAGACACUGUGUAGAUACAUGGUGGAUCCCACCAGCUGAGGUCUCUGUCCCACAAAAUGGGCCCCUUUUCAGAGGCCUGCAAAAGUAUGGCCCAUGAUUCAGAAUGACUUUCUAUAAAUGGGGCUUCCUUCAUCCCCUCACAUUCAAAAAGUGGUUAGACUGCUUCCUAAAACUGUCAAGGACUUUACUUUCAUUUGCCUUGUGGUAACACCUGUUCAGAAGAGACAGGUGAACACGCACAUGGAAGAGGUGCAUAGGCCAAGGUGUGGGACAAAGGACGUGGAGCUCACAUGACUUUGCGUGGUGCGCCACCCUCCAGGACCCUCCACCCACGCGUUGAUCUGAACACCCUUUCACCCCGUCCUGUUGAGAUUUUAUGGAGGCUCCUUUAUGUAGGCAGGCUUGAUUACAUCCUGGGUGAUGGUGAUCAGUUGGGACUUUAGUCCCUCUCUCUUCCCUGGAGGUGGAUGGCAGGACUGUGUUACAACUGCCUCUCCUGCCUGUGGCUUUGUGGGGAGAAGCCUCGUCGUGAAGCUCUCUAGGGGGCUUUGGCACCUGUCGUGUCACUAGCACACAACUCUUUCUUAGCUCUCCAUGGAUUCCAGGUGAGCUCCACAUCAGCAGACAGACAGAUACCAAAUGUGUGUUUACAGCCUCACAGUGCAGCUCUUCUCACUUGAAUCAGUUGCAUGCUUACACUUCUCCUCCCUUCUCAUUUCUCUUUGUUUACUUCUUUGCAGUAAUGGGGUUGAACCUAGACCCCCUCUGCCAUUACAUCCCUACUCCUAUGUUCUUCAUUCUCAGAGAGGAUCUUGCUAUGUUUCCCAGUCCCACCUCCGAUUUACAAUGUUCCCACCUCAGCCUGGGGAUAGCUGGGAUACAAGCAUGUGCCACCAUGCCUGGGUUCUGUGGUUUACAUUUUGGAUGAAGAUUGUAACUGUCCCCAGUGCCCCAUUGUGAAGCCUGUUUUAAUUUCAGGGUCCACUGACAUUCAGGGAUGUGGCCAUAGAAUUCUCCCAGGAGGAGUGGAAGUGCCUGGUUUCUGCUCAGAGGGCUUUGUACAGGGACGUGAUGCUGGAGACCUACAGGAACCUGGUCUCCCUGGGAAUGUGUCCUUCAGACCCGAGUGUCCUCUCCUGGUUGGAGCAAGGGAGGGAGCCCUGGAGUGUGAAUGGCCCAGAGGAAAUAUCCAGGCCUGCAAAUGAUUGGGCAUUUGUGGAGUGUGUGAAAGCAGAAGAACCGGAAACAAACAUUCCUACAGCUCCGUACAAAUGUAAUGAGCUUGAAAAAUCCUUUAAUCAAGAAUCACACCCUACUAUACAUCAGAAAAUCUGUACUGGAGAGAAACAAUUUACUUGUGAAAUAUGUAGCAAAGUCUUCAAUAAAAAAUCUUAUCUUACAAGUCAUCUUAGAAUUCAUACUGGAGAGAAACCUUACAAGUGUAAUGAGUGUGGGAAGAUGUUCAGUAGAAGUUCACACCUUGGAAAACAUCGGAGAAUCCACACUGG